AGUCCUGUAGCUCAACGGUAGAGCGCUUGCCUUACAAGCAAGAUGUUGUCAGUUCAAAUCUGACUAGGACUACCA
rnacentral:tRNA from 1 species